ACUCCUACGGGAGGCAGCAGUGGGGAAUAUUGCACAAUGGACGAAAGUCUGAUGCAGCAACGCCGCGUGGAGGAUGACACAUUCGGUGCGUAAAUCCUUUUAUAUGAGAAGAUAAGACGGUAUUUAGAUAGCACGUU
rnacentral:rRNA from 1 species